AGAGUUUGAUCCUGGCUCAGGAUGAACGCUGGCGGUAUGCUUAAUACAUGCAAGUCGAACGAAAUUUUUUAAAAAUUUAGUGGCGGACGGGUGAGUAACACGUGAGUAUCUGCCUUUGGGAAGGGGACAACAGUUAGAAAUGACUGCUAAUACCCUAUGUGCUGGUUACAGUAAACGGAUUUCCGCCCAAAGAAGAGCUCGCGCCUGAUUAGCUAGUUGGUAAGGUAAUAGCUUACCAAGGCGAUGAUCAGUAGUUGGUCUGAGAGGAUGAUCAGCCACGCUGGAACUGAGACACGGUCCAGACUCCUACGGGAGGCAGCAGUAGGGAAUCUUCCGCAAUGGGCGCAAGCCUGACGGAGCAAUACCGCGUGAGGGAUGACAGCCUGUGGGUUGUAAACCUCUUUUUUCAAGGAGGAAGAUCUGACGUGUACUUGAAGAAUAAGCAUCGGCUAACUCCGUGCCAGCAGCCGCGGUAAGACGGAGGAUGCAAGUGUUAUCCGGAAUCACUGGGCGUAAAGCGUCUGUAGGUGGUUUAAUAAGUCAGUUGUUACAAAUUGAGGCUUAACCUUAAACAAGCAACAGAUACUGUUAAACUUGAGUAUAGUAGAGGUAAAAGGAAUUUCCAGUGGAGCGGUGAAAUGCGUAGAGAUUGGAAAGAACACCGAUGGCGAAGGCAUUUUACUGGGCUAUAGCUGACACUCAGAGACGAAAGCUAGGGUAGCAAAUGGGAUUAGAUACCCCAAUAGUCCUAGCCGUAAACGAUGGAUACUAGAUGUUGCACGUAUCGACCCGUGCAGUAUCAAAGCUAACGCGUUAAGUAUCCCGCCUGGGGAGUAUGCUCGCAAGGGUGAAACUCAAAGGAAUUGACGGGGGCCCGCACAAGCGGUGGAGCAUGUGGUUUAAUUUGAUGCAACGCGAAGAACCUUACCAGGGUUUGACAUGGUAUGAAUUUUUCUGAGAAGAAAAAGUGCUUUUUAUUAGAACAUACACACAGGUGGUGCAUGGCUGUCGUCAGCUCGUGUCGUGAGAUGUUGGGUUAAGUCCCGCAACGAGCGCAACCCUCAUUUUUAGUUAAUAUUCUAGAAAGACUGCCGGUUAUAAGCUGGAGGAAGGUGGGGAUGACGUCAAGUCAGCAUGCCCCUUAUAUCCUGGGCUACACACGUGCUACAUUGGGUAAGACAAUGAGUUGCAAGCCUGUGAAGGUUAGCUAAUCUACAAACUUAUUCGUAGUUCGGAUUGUAGGCUGAAACUCGCCUACAUGAAGUUGGAAUCGCUAGUAAUCGCUGGUCAGCCAUACAGCGGUGAAUUCGUUCCCGGGCCUUGUACACACCGCCCGUCACACCAUGGAAGCUGGUUAUACCCGAAGUUGUUACCUUAACCAUUUGGAGAGGGGCACCUAAGGUAGAAUUAGUGACUAGGGUGAAGUCGUAACAAGGUA
rnacentral:rRNA from 1 species